CAAAACUAUUCAAUUGCAAGUCAAUACCAACCUUGGCUUUAACCUUCAACCUAACCUUCAAAACCCACCACAAAACUCCAUUUUCUUCAUCAUCAUCCUCGCCGUCGAGACUAGUCCCCAAGCCCGAUCUCUCCCAAAUCGGCUUCUUCCUUUGCUCUCGUGAUUUCUGGCUUCACGUCCUCGAACAGAUCGUCAAGGGCGAUCUCAAAUGCCCUCUCAAAUCUGAUUUCAUCAAACUCAUCGUCACCUUCGACAAAUUCCAAACCUCCAAUUUUUACUUCUCCAAAAUUAGUCUCACCAAUCCCAAUCUAUUAACUCACCUCUUCGGCAAUUGUAUCCCCGAUCUCGAAAUCUCCAUGAAUGUUCGAUCUGAAAUGCACAACAUCGACUCCAGAUCCAAUCGUCGUGACUACUUGUCCAUUGGUAAAAAUAAAGAGAGGCUUCGAAGGGGAGGGGUUUCAAGCGGUGCUCUCUCUCUCUCUCUCUCUCUCUCUAAUCACCUCACUCUCAUUCUCUCUUUCAUAUGUCCCACCACACCACCAAUUUCUUGGGUUUAUACAUCUCGGUGUGGCAAAUCGACCCAAUUGAUAGUUCUGAGAAGCCAUGAAUGAAAAGACACCACUCGUUGCUCGAUUUCUGAUGCAUCUGAGGUCGAAUUCGAAAAUUUCAGAAUUGAAGGAUUUGGUGCUUUUGACAGAUAAACAUGAUUCGUAGGAGACAACCCAAGAUAGAAAUUUGAGAAGGAAACUUUUGUCUUCUGAUGAAUCGAGUGCUUUGACUAAAAAGGAUUACGAAAAUGAAGCUAGAGAUUUGAGCCAGGAAAUUAAUUCCACCCUUUCAACGUGCUCAAAAGUUUCUGUUGCUGAUUGGGAAAUGUUAUGCACCAGAGUUUGUGACUUGCCAAUAUAUAUCAAUGAAAGUGGGAAGUUAGGAUAGAGAUCCAUUUCUACAUCCUGAUAAAGUAUGUUGUUCAAAGAAGUUGCCUUCAUUCCUAGAGGUAAUAGUCUUUUAUUUCCCCUCGAUCAAAAUUUGUUAAUGUUUUUUUAUUUAAAUUUUAAUUGUUUUUUGGGUGUCAUACAUGAUAGAUGGGUUGUUUGUGUGAAGGAACUCAUGUUGAUUUCUUUACUAGUGACAAUAAAUUUUUAUAGAGUAUAUUAGUGGCAAUAGUUUUUUUAAUGUAUCAUGUUAAGCCUUUUUAUUGUUACUGUAUUUUCCUUCUAAGUACUAUAUUUUCUGUUUUGGGUUUUGUUCACCACACCUUCAUUUUUCCACAAUAUUAGUCUUCUUUCUCAUAAAUCAUAAGUAUUGAGAUACAGUUGGUCCUUUUCAAAUUAUAACUAUAGUUUCAGCUUGUUAUUUUUCUCAUCUUAUUACAUAACAUCAAAAUGGAACCAAAUUUGGGAAAGACUCCAACCUUGGAUAAUUACUCAGUGGUAUAUUUCUUGUACAUUUUUUAAAGCUCUUGAUAAAUUCUGUUUGAUAUUUCAUAUAUUCUUUUUUCUUGCAUUUUCUUUAAUGUUUUGGCCUUAAAAAGUGCAGCGAUUCAAGCGGUUUUGAGCAGUGACAAAAGAGACGAUAGCCUCUUCAGCUGGCAGUAGGGGAGUUUUAUACAAAAAAUUAAAUGAAGUGGCUUUAGCCUAUAGUGGUGGUUUAGAUACCCUAGUCACUGUCCCAUGGCUAAGACAAGAAAUACAACAGGGUUAGUUGCUCCAGCUAUUGUCGCGGGUUUAGGUGCCUUAACACAUACAUUGGGCACCCUCGUCCCUGCGAUAGGAGCAAGUGGAUUUGCUAUAGCUGCAACUGUUAUAGGAACUGUUGUCAGUAGUUUUAGAUAAUCUCUUAAUAGUUGUCGAUAUGUUUAGAAAGUUAGAUAUGCAUAGUUUUUUAUGGUUUAAACUUUUUAUACAGUUUAGAACUUAAGGAUAUAGUUUUCGAAUGU